rnacentral:rRNA from 1 species
UUCUGGUUGAUCCUGCCGGACCUGACUGCUAUCGGAUUGAUACUAAGCCAUGCGAGUCUUUGUAGUAAUACAAGGCAUACGGCUCAGUAACGCGUAGUCAACCUACCCUAUGGACAAGAAUAAUCUCGGGAAACUGAGCAUAAUUCUUGAUAGAUCAUAAUGCCUGGAAUGGUUUAUGGUUAAAAUGAUUCGUCGCCGUAGGAUGGGACUGCGGCCUAUCAGCUUGUUGGUGAGGUAAUGGCCCACCAAGGCGAUUACAGGUACGGGCUCUGAGAGGAGAAGCCCGGAGAUGGGUACUGAGACAAGGACCCAGGCCCUAUGGGGCGCAGCAGGCGAGAAAACUUUGCAAUGUGCGAAAGCACGACAAGGUUAGUCCGAGUGAUUUCUGCUAAAGAGAUCUUUUGCUAGUUAUAAAACCACUAGUGAAUAAGGGGUGGGCAAGUUCUGGUGUCAGCCGCCGCGGUAAAACCAGCACCUCAAGUGGUCAGGAUGAUUAUUGGGCCUAAAGCAUCCGUAGCCGGCUCUGUAAGUUUUCGGUUAAAUCUAUGCGCUCAACGUAUGGGCUGCCGAAAAUA